UGACUUUAAAGGGGACUUUGUGACGUUCACAGAGGGAGACAGAAUUGCCAAUAAAUGACUGAUAAAAAUGAGAAAAAAAUCAGAAGAGAAGAAUAUGAUGAAAAAAAAAAGAAGAAAAUCUAGUUAUUUUGGAGCUGGCACCACAAAGAAGGAAAAGGAAAGUGAUGGUGGAUAUAAGAAACGUAAGAAGGAAAGGCAAUGUGGAAUACCUGGGACAUCUCAGAGGAAGGAUUUUGUGACUGAGACAACAAAAUAACUUCAACAUAUAGGAUGUGCAUAAAGAAAAUGUAGAUACAAUUCAAG
rnacentral:lncRNA from 1 species